UACGUAGGGGGCGAGCGUUGUCCGGAAUCAUUGGGCGUAAAGCGCGUGUAGGCGGCCCGGUAAGUCCGCUGUGAAAGUCCAGGGCUCAACCCUGGGAUGCCGGUGGAUACUGUCGGGCUCGAGUCCGGAAGAGGCGAGUGGAAUUCCUGGUGUAGCGGUGAAAUGCGCAGAUAUCAGGAGGAACACCAAUGGCGAAGGCAACUCGCUGGGACGUGACUGACGCUGAGACGCGAAAGCGUGGGGAGCAAACAGG
rnacentral:rRNA from 1 species